CGGCGUGCUUAACACAUGCAAGUCGAACGGAUUAGUGGGAGCUUGCUCCCGGCUAAGUGAGUGGCGGACGGGUGAGUAACGCGUGAACAAUCUGUCUCAUACAGGGGGAUAACGCAUCGAAAGAUGUGCUAAUACCGCGUAGGACCACGGAAUCGCAUGGUUCUGAGGUGAAAGGCGAAAGUCGGUAUGAGGUGAGUUCGCGUCUGAUUAGAUAGUUGGUGAGGUAACGGGCCCACCAAGUCAACGAUCAGUAGCCGACCUGAGAGGGUGAUCGGCCACAUUGGGACUGAGACACGGCCCAGACUCCUACGGGAGGCAGCAGUGGGGAAUAUUGGGCAAUGGGCGAAAGCCUGAACCCCCAGCAACGCCGCGUGAAGGAAGAAGGUUUUCGGAUCGUAAACUUCUGUCCUAUGAGAAGAUAAUGACGGUAUCAUAGGAGGAAGCCCCGGCUAACUACGUGCCAGCAGCUGC
rnacentral:rRNA from 1 species